CCGGAUAAUGGAGCAAUUAAAAUGGAUGCCUGUGAGUAUUCUUAGGGCAAUUAAAAUCAGAGAACCAGUUUUUGCUUUUUCUUGUUAAUCAGAAAGUCUUUGUGUAACUGGAGUUUGAGAGAAAGGACAGGAGCACUCUGUCAGAUAUUUGUUGUCAAUAAUGCCUACAAGGAAAGGCCAUUCUGGACACUGGGUGACUGAAUUCAGAUACAGGUCCAUGAUUUUUUUUAAACAGAGAUAAGCACAAUUCUACUCUUCAGAAGUCUCUCCUAGCCCCAGAAGGGAGAAUCAGGAUGUCACAUCAGAAACUGACUGUUGUGUCCUCCAGUACUACAAUUCUGGCAAGUAGCUGAAUUUUGGUACGACUGUUUUUUUCCCUGUCUUGGAAGGUCUGCAGUUUCAUGUCUACAUUUCUAUACAAAGUAACACUCCAUAGAACAAAUUUUAUUCAUAUUUAUUCUGUAAUUUGAAGUUCAUUUAUCUGGUUAGAUAAUUAAAUAAGACAGUAAUAGUAAUAA